rnacentral:rRNA from 1 species
CGCGCAGGCGGUUUGGAAAGUCAGAUGUGAAAGCCCGGGGCUCAACCCCGGAAGUGCAUCUGAAACUGCCAAACUUGAGUAUGGGAGAGGGAAGUGGAAUUCCUGGUGUAGCGGUGAAAUGCGUAGAUAUCAGGAGGAACACCGGUGGCGAAGGCGACUUCCUGGACCAAUACUGACGCUGAGGCGCGAAGGCGUGGGGAGCAAACA